rnacentral:rRNA from 1 species
GCCUAAGGUUCCGACUACUGGGCGUAAGCGUGUGCAGGCGGUUUGAUAAGUUGGAUGUGAAAGCUCCCGGCUCAACUGGGAGAGGCCGUUCAAAACUAUCAGACUAGAGGACGGUAGAGGAAGGUAGAAUUCCCGGUGUAGUAGUGAAAUGCGUAGAUAUCGGGAGGAAUACCAGUGGCGAAGGCGGCCUUCUGGACCGUUCCUGACGCUCAGACACGAAAGCUAGGGGAGCGAACGGGAUUAGAAACCCCGGUAGUCCUAGCUGUAAACGAUGCGAACUUGGUGUUGGUGGGGUAAAAUCCGCCGGUGCCGAAGCUAACGCGAUAAGUUCGCCGCCUGGGGACUACGGCCGCAAGGUUAAAACUCAAAGGAAUUGACGGGGCCCCGCACAAGCAGCGGAGCGUGUGGUUUAAUUCGUUGCUACGCGAAAAACCUUACCCGGGUUUGACAUAUAGGUAGUAGGGAUUCGAGAGAUGACCGACCCUUCGGGGAGCCUAUACAGGUGCUGCAUGGCUGUCGUCAGCUCGUGCCGUGAGGUGUCCGGUUAAGUCCGGUAACGAGCGCAACCCUCGCUGUAUGUUACAAGUGUCAUACAGGACUGCCGGUAUCAAGCCGGAGGAAGGCGGGGAUGACGUCAAGUCAGCAUGGCCUUUAUAUCCGGGGCUACACACACGCUACAAUGGCCAAUACAAUGGGUCGCAAAGCCGCGAGGUAGAGCCAAUCCCCAAAACUGGUCUCAGUUCAGACUGCAGGCUGCAACCCGCCUGCACGAAGCCGGAGUUGCUAGUAAACGCGCGUCAGCAUUAGUGCGUUGAAUACGUUCCCGGGGCUUGUACACACCGCCCGUCACGUCAUGGGAGCUGGUAACACCUGAAGCCGGUAUCCUAACCCGUAAGGGAGGGAGCUGUCGAAGGUGGGACUGGUGACUGGGACGAAGUCGUAACAAGGUAAC